GGAGAGGUGCUGGAGUGGCUGAACAGGGCUGCCUGCUAAGCAGUUGUACCCGUUAAGGGUACCGUGGGUUCGAAUCCCACCCUCUCCGCCA
rnacentral:tRNA from 1 species